AAUAGCAAUAUUAGCGUAACCCAAGUCCCCGAACCUAGAUAUCUGGUUGCGUAGGAAUCGAGGGAACACUCCCGACCCUCGAUUGGGUUUCUAGCCGACCCCCAAAGUUGAGGCUAGUGGCGACUCAUGUAUAUUCUUAGGUUGUUAAAUACCUAGAUCGCAUAAUAAACCUACUGUCACGCGGGGUACGAGCUUGGGAGAGCUCGCGAUCUUGAGAUCAAGUAUCCCUAAACCCGACCUUUCCCAACCUUGGAUACAUUUCGAGGGG
rnacentral:lncRNA from 1 species